CCCCCGCGGCGCCUGAGCGGCUGCUGCGCCGGCGCUCAAGAGGCAUGCUCGGACCGGGGAGGGUAGAUGAGGUUUUCUCUAUCGCCAGCGUUACAGGAGUUGAACUCUUUCCGCGGUUUCUUUUAAUUGUGAGCGGAGUAAUCUGGCGCUGGGGAGCCCAAAGGAACCUCAAGGGGGGAAGGAAGAGGGCGGGAGGAUGCUGAAGUCGGGCCGUUCCCGCAACUUCCAGCCCGAACGCUCCCCUGACUCAUCGCCGGAGAAGGCUGCUUCGCAGACGCUGGUGGUGAAUUGCAGGUGAUUAACGGACGCAUGGGGCGAGAAGCGAAAGGCAGCACAAGAAAAACGUCUCGGAAGGAGCUGCUCAGGUCUGCAGCGAGGAAAAAGCGAGGCAAAGAUCUCGACGCUUUUGAGGAAACGCUUCCAGGGCGCUUCGGCUCUUGUCCUGCGGCUGCCGGGGCCCCCCGCCACCGGGGGCACCUCGACCGGACCAGGAGCAAACGAAGAGCCACGCGGCCCCCGGGGGGAGAUGUUUACCCUCCUGGAAAGCUAAAAUGUUUUCUGCGCUUGCAACAUAAAAACCCAGGAGGGAUUAUUGUCACUGGAGAUAAUGUUACAGCCGGAGCCGGGUGACGCUUAAGAACUUGGUCAGCCCCUGCGCCUUGCCAAAAUAGCGCCCGGCGUUGUUUCGAGGCAGGUUGCAGAGCCCGGAUACAACGAACGUGACUCUUUCGCAGUGCUUUAAAGCGCAACGGCCGUUACCUGCGGUGCGUGGUGAGGCCUCGGGACGGGCUGCAAGCUGGUUUACCAGCUGCAGCUUGCGUCUCGGUUACUAAAGCAGCUGUUGCUUAUAGAAAAUCCCUCCUAAAGCAACUCCGGGCACCUCGGCCUCUACCUACCAAUUUCAAAAUGCGUAAGUAAGAAAAAAAGCUGUUUGUAUGAAUAACCCUGAGUAAAUAAAUUGUCGCUUUAACUACGUUGUAUCGUAAUG
rnacentral:lncRNA from 1 species